rnacentral:rRNA from 1 species
AUACGGAGGGUGCAAGCGUUACUCGGAAUCACUGGGCGUAAAGCGCGCGCAGGCGGCUAUUUAAGUUGGAUGUGAAAGCCUAUGGCUCAACCAUAGAACUGCAUCCAAAACUAUUUAGCUAGAGUGUGGGAGAGGAAGAUGGAAUUAGUUGUGUAGGGGUAAAAUCCGUAGAGAUAACUAGGAAUACCAAAAGCGAAGGCAAUCUUCUGGAACACUACUGACGCUGAGGAACGAAAGCGUGGGGAGCAAACAGGAUUAGAAACCCUAGUAGUCC